UACGUAGGGUGCAAGCGUUGUCCGGAAUUACUGGGCGUAAAGCGCACGUAGGCGGCUUUGUAAGUUAGAGGUGAAAGCCCAGGGCUUAACCCUGGAAUUGCCUUUAAGACUGCAUCGCUAGAAUCGUGGAGAGGUGAGUGGAAUUCCCGGUGUAGCGGUGAAAUGCGCAGAUAUCGGGAAGAACACCCGUGGCGAAGGCGGCUCUCUGGGACGGUACUGAACGCGUGAGA
rnacentral:rRNA from 1 species